CGCAGCCGCGGUAAUUCCAGCUCCAAUAGCGUAUAUUAAAGUUGUUGCAGUUAAAAAGCUCGUAGUUGAAUUUCGGGAUCAAGUCGUCGGUCGUGCUCAGGUACGUACUGGCGUCAUUGAUUUCUCCCUUCUGACGAACCAUGAUGUCAUUAACUUGGUGUCAUGGGAAAUCAGGACUGUUACUUUGAAAAAAUUAGAGUGUUUAAAGCAGGCUCACGCUUGAAUACAUUAGCAUGGAAUAAUGAAAUAGGACGUUCGAUCCUAUUUUGUUGGUUUUAGGAUCAACGUAAUGAUUAAUAGGGAUAGUUGGGGGCAUUAGUAUUCAAUUGUCAGAGGUGAAAUUCUUGGAUUUAUUGAAGACUAACUACUGCGAAAGCAUUUGCCAAGGAUGUUUUCAUUAAUCAAGAACGAAAGUUAGGGGAUCGAAGACGAUCAGAUACCGUCGUAGUCUUAACCAUAAACUAUGCGACUAGGGAUCGGAUGAUGUUAAUUUUUAAUGUACUCAUUCGGCGUAC
rnacentral:rRNA from 1 species